GCUAGCGUGGCGCAGUGAUUUGGGUUUUAAUUUUUGACUCUGGAGGCCAGGGUUCGAGUCCCAGCUCAGUCC